GGGACGAACGCUGGCGGCGUGCUUAACACAUGCAAGUCGAGCGGAAAGGCCCUUCGGGGUACUCGAGCGGCGAACGGGUGAGUAACACGUGAGCAACCUGCCCUUAGCUUCGGGAUAGCUCCGGGAAACCGGAAUUAAUACCGAAUAUGAUUUUUGCUGACAUCAGCAGAAGUGGAAAGUUUUUCGGCUAGGGAUGGACUCGCGGCCUAUCAGCUAGUGGUGAGGUAACGGCCACCAAGGCGACGACGGGUA
rnacentral:rRNA from 1 species